UACGUAGGUGGCAAGCGUUGUCCGGAUUUACUGGGUGUAAAGGGCGUGCAGCCGGGCUGACAAGUCAGAUGUGAAAUCCCGCGGCUCAACCGCGGAACUGCAUUUGAAACUGUCAGUCUUGAGCACCGGAGAGGUCAUCGGAAUUCCUUGUGUAGCGGUGAAAUGCGUAGAUAUAAGGAAGAACACCAGUGGCGAAGGCGGAUGACUGGACGGCAACUGACGGUGAGGCGCGAAAGCGUGGGGAGCAAACAGG
rnacentral:rRNA from 1 species